rnacentral:rRNA from 1 species
UGGGGAAUUUUGGACAAUGGGCGCAAGCCUGAUCCAGCAAUGCCGCGUGCAGGAUGAAGGCCUUCGGGUUGUAAACUGCUUUUGUACGGAGCGAAAAGGUCUGCCCUAAUACGGUGGGCUCAUGACGGUACCGUAAGAAUAAGCACCGGCUAACUACGUGCCAGCAGCCGCGGUAAUACGUAGGGUGCGAGCGUUAAUCGGAAUUACUGGGCGUAAAGCGUGCGCAGGCGGUUAUAUAAGACAGAUGUGAAAUCCCCGCGCUCAACCUGGGACCUGCAUUAGUGACUGUAUAGCUAGAGUACGGUAGAGGGGGAUGGAAUUCCGCGUGUAGCAGUGAAAUGCGUAGAUAUGCGGAGGAACACCGAUGGCGAAGGCAAUCCCCUGGACCUGUACUGACGCUCAUGCACGAAAGCGUGGGGAGCAAACA